CAGAGGGUGCGAGCGUUGUUCGGAAUUACUGGGCGUAAAGCGCGCGCAGGCGGCCCUUUAAGUCUACCCGUGAAAUGCCGGAGCUCAACUCCGUGCACGCCGGGGGAUACUGGAGGGCUGGAGACAGGUAGAGGCAGGCGGAAUUCCGGGUGUAGCGGUGGAAUGCGUAGAGAUCCGGAAGAACACCAGAGGCGAAGGCGGCCUGCUGGGCCUUGUCUGACGCUGAGGCGCGAAAGCGUGGGGAGCGAACAGGAUUAGAUACCCUGGUAGUCCACGCCGUAAACGAUGGGCACUGGGCGCGGGUGGGAUCGACCCUUUCCGUGCCGCAGCUAACGCGUUAAGUGCCCCGCCUGGGGAGUACGGCCGCAAGGCUG
rnacentral:rRNA from 1 species